GAUGAACGCUGGCGGCGUGCCUAAUACAUGCAAGUCGAGCGAACAGACGAGGAGCUUGCUCCUCUGAUGUUAGCGGCGGACGGGUGAGUAACACGUGGAUAACCUACCUAUAAGACUGGGAUAACUUCGGGAAACCGGAGCUAAUACCGGAUAACAUGUUGAACCGCAUGGUUCAACAGUGAAAGACGGUCUUGCUGUCACUUAUAGAUGGAUCCGCGCCGCAUUAGCUAGUUGGUAAGGUAACGGCUUACCAAGGCAACGAUGCGUAGCCGACCUGAGAGGGUGAUCGGCCACACUGGAACUGAGACACGGUCCAGAAUCCUACGGGAGGCAGCAGUAGGGGAUCUUCCGGAAUGGGCGAAAGGCUGACGGAGCAACGCCGCGUGAGUGAAGAAGGUCUUCGGAUCGUAAAACUCUGUUAUUAGGGAAGAACAAAAGUGUAAGUAACUAUGCACGUCUUGACGGUACCUAAUCAGAAAGCCACGGCUAACUACGUG
rnacentral:rRNA from 1 species